GCAUGGCAUUGGAUUUAUGGUGGGGUCUCUUUGUGCCCCCUCAUAGUGUACUCCAUGCUAAAGUGAGCUGCAGCUCCUAACCAUUGACAGAUCUCAGUCCCAUAGGUCUGAUCACUGAUGAGGGCUGCACAUUC